rnacentral:SRP_RNA from 1 species
AAUAUAUGCCAUUAUAAAGAUAACAUCUGAACUUAGUCAGAACCGGAAGGUAGCAGCUAUAAGGAAACGUGUCUUGUAUAGUGGUUUUAUUUUUUUAG